GAUCCUGGCUCAGAAUCAACGCUGGCGGCGUGCCUCAGACAUGCAAGUCGAACGAGAAAGUCCCCUUCGGGGGAUGAGUAAAGUGGCGCACGGGUGAGUAACACGUAGGUAAUCUACCUUCGGGUGGGGAAUAACCCAGGGAAACUUGGGCUAACACCGCAUAAUGCAGCGGCACCACAUGGUGACAGUUGUUAAAGCGGGGGAUUUUAGGACCUCGCGCCUGAAGAGGAGCCUGCGGCGGAUUAGCUAGUUGGUAAGGUAACGGCUUACCAAGGCGACGAUCCGUAACCGGCCUGAGAGGGCGGUCGGUCACACUGACACUGACAUACGGGUCAGACUCCUACGGGAGGCAGCAGUCGGGAAUUUUGGGCAAUGGGCGAAAGCCUGACCCAGCAACGCCGCGUGAAGGAUGAAAUCCCUCGGGAUGUAAACUUCGCAAGAUUGGGAAGAAUUAGUAGGGGCUAAUACCCUCUAUGAUGACGGUACCUUUUGUAAGCUCCGGCUAACUCCGUGCCAGCAGCCGCGGUAAUACGGGGGGAGCAAGCGUUGUUCGGAUUUACUGGGCGUAAAGGGCGCGUAGGCGGUCAGCACAAGUCAGUUGUGAAAUCUCCGGGCUUAACUCGGAAAGGUCAACUGAUACUGUGCGACUAGAGUGCAGAAGGGGCAACUGGAAUUCUCGGUGUAGCGGUG
rnacentral:rRNA from 1 species